UAGCAUCUCCGCAUCACAGCAUUAUACAUAGAGAACAAGCGGAAAGCGCCCUCAUACUUACAACAGUACGCGCGCAAAAUCGUUGUUAGAGAUGGCGUCUGGCACUCUGAUCGAGACGGAGCGCGUCAUACGCGAGAAGCUCGAGGCAUCCGGGCAAUACGGAAAGAUGCGUGCCAUGAUCAUGGAGGCGGCGCUGCGAACGGUCAGCGCCUCUGACAGCGACGACUCAGGCGCCCAUAAGCCGUUGGUGUUUCACCCCACUGUCGCGCUCGCGGAUGCCAAGCGGAACGGUGUCACAGAGCUGAGCAUUGUGCAAGAGUACCUGCAGUACCUCGGCCUGCAGUACACGGCACGAGUGCUCCAGCUGGAGGCUGGAUUGCAAGAGGUGCCUUUGCGCACCAGCGCAGAGCUGCAGCAACAGCUGCACAUCGCAGCCAAUAAUCGACCGGGCCCUUGCCUGUCGGCACUGGUGCAUGGCGGGGCAGCUGGGUUGGUACAGCCUAUCCCUGCGACUGAGGCACCUGCUGAUGCUGCUGGGGAGGAGGGCACUAAGGCCGAGGAGGACGUCGACGAUGCUGCCUCCUCCGCCUCCGACCACCACCAGCCUGGCGGUGAGAACACGACGUACUUCAUCUCCAAGUGGAAGAAGCGUCACUUCGUGCGCCACAAUCAAGUCUCCGGACAGCAGGUGCAGAUCGAGUACCUGACGGAUUGCCAUACGGUGGUACUAGAUGAGCUGGAUAGCAUGACCGUUGAUGACUGCGAGGGCGGCGAGCUGGUGAUUGCCGCGUGCGAGGGGAGCGUGUUCCUGCGCGGAUGCAAGAACAUGACGAUCCAUGUGGCGUGCAAGCAGCUCCGCACCCGCGAUUGCGAGCACAUCAACUUGCACAUCUUCGCCUCGACUGACCCCGUCGUGGAGAUGAGCCACCACAUCUCCUUCUAUCCAUUUCACUUGCGCCUACCAGGGCUGCAGCGACUGUUUGCCGAGGCUCGGCUGGACCCCAAGGCGAACAGGUUUGUCCAUGUGUAUGACUUCACACCGACGGAGCCGCAGCUGCCGACGCCGCACUUUGAAGUGCACUUCCCUGAUCACCACCUCUCGAUGGAGGAUCGCUACGCCAGCUACGGCGCCCCGGAGUGCCCGCCUGAGAUCGAGGCGCUGCUAGCCCUGCGACUAAUGCCGGCCGCCAGCUCAGAGUCCGGAAAGAACAAGAGCUACGACAUCCGGACGGGGGCGCAGGUGUGGGCGCAGGCAGGUCCAAUGCCGGUUCCGGCCGUUGCAGCAGCGGCGGCAGUAGGAGCUGCAACUGCUACGUCCGCCAACGCCCACGCAGAGAGCAGUGAUGAGGAGGAUGAGGAGGAUGAGGAGGAUGAGGAGAUGGCGUCGGAGAACGAUCAAGCCGGCUCUUCGGCGCCGCAAUCGUCGUCGGCUUCGACGACGUCGUCCUCCAUGUCUGAGGAGGAUGCUCAGGCAAAGAAGCGUGUGGCCGCGCAAUCGGCAAUACAGCGCAUCGGCGGGCUGUCCACAGCACCCCCACUGGCCCCCACCCCCGCUCUUGGUGCAGCAGCCCACACCGCCACCCGAGGCGGCAUCGACAACGAGGAGUAUUCCUCCUUUGACGAUGGCGACGACGACAGCAACGCAGAUGACAAGUACGACAUGGAGGAAGACGAGGAUGACUUUUAGUUCGCGUUGGUCUUUCGCUCCACUCCUUUUUCGCCCUCCGCGCUUCUCUUGUGGGCCGAGGGGGACAGAGAGAAGGCGGACGAGACAACGCACGUCUAUCACCACACUAACGAAGGAGAAGAAUAACGCAGCGACUGAGGAUGGGUAGGUGGGAGUCCCCUAGCACCAUGAAAGGCGAUGCGAUACGCGAGGGGCUAUCUCUUCCUCUCUUUCCGAUGCCCAGAAGCGUCCCCUUUACACACACGCCCCACAUGGGUCGCUGCUACAUACAUAACCACACAUCCGCACAUCCCCCCCCCCCCCCCCCCCCCCCCCCCCCCACACACACACACACACACACACACACACACGUGCACUUUGCUUCUUCAUUGCACCAUCCCGAUGUGACGACGUCGCGCCUUCACCAUCCGUGUCGUUCUCCAACAACAACAGCAACGACAACAACGGCUGGUCUGUGCUCUGAAGUGCGUAUGUGCGCGCGUGCUCUGUCUCUUCGGCCUAUUCUCCUCCUCUUCGGUUGCCCUUGCUGGAGCGUUUGCCGAGCCAGGAAAGCAAGCAGAGCGAGACAGCAAGGGCGGCACAGAGAGGGAGGGAGAGGUGGUAGGGGGGGGGAGAGAGGGACAAGGCGGACUCGUGCUUUGUGGUGUUGCUGGUGAUGUCGCGCGUGCUCCAUUGUUUGUUUCUGAUCUGAGACUCCCUUCUACUCAUCAUAGUCUUACUCAUUUUCUUUUUUCCGGCCUCUUCGCUGUCGCUGAUCUUUAUACCGCUCGCACUAGUAUAUAUAUAUAUCUACACAUAUCUACAUGUACAUGCAUAUGCAUAUGCGUGCUUGUGUAUUGUUUUCCUCAUGUUGCUUCGGGUGCUGGACUGCUUUGUCUUUUCCUUCUCUGUGUGUGUGUGUGCUCGUCGAUGGGCGCAGGCUAGGCUUGGAUGCACCCAUUUGGACACCGUCAGUGGAGGAGGAGGAGGGGGGAGGAGGGCGAAGCGAAUCGAAGGACAUGAUGGUAUGAGUGAAUAUGCAGCAGAGCGCGCGGGAGCGAGGGGCGACAUGGCAGAUAGCGGUUUGACUGAAGGGUGUGGGCAUUGCCCUGCGGCAGCAUCAAGGGAGAGAGGGAGAAGCAGGAGGCAUGACAGGCCAGCAAUUAUUUUUUUUCGUUCUAGAUGGUUGUCCCUCGCUACUUGUAUUUUGUUUGCCUACCAGUCGAGCGAGCCGCAAACCUGCCCGUCCCCCGCGGUGCCCUCUCAGACCACUCGGGGGAGGGAGGGCUUUCCAGUGAGACCUGCUUCUCUCUUUCUAUGCUCGUUUACAUCCUCGUGACCUCUCUCUCUUAUGCAACAGCAAACAAGUUACCUGCACUGCCUCCGUGGUCCUCGUUGCGACAUGUGUGAGAAGGGAGGGAUAGAGAAAGCACAUACACAUACACACACGCAAUGCUCGGACGAGCGUCUCCUGGGCGUUGAGCAUGGAAACCGACGACAUCCGCCAUUCUAUUCAACAGACAAGCAGACAAGACAGCAGUGCAAGGGUGGCACGGGGUGGGUGUGUUUAAAGAGUAGCAGCAGCACCACUCCUUAGGGAGGGAGGAUGCGAGGGGGAGGUCAAGCAACUCCCUCUACUCCACAGCGUGCGCACAGAAGACAUCUAUGUGCCUCCUUUCUACAGGGAGGGUGAGUGGGUGGGUGGGGGGAGGACAGGGGCGUGCAAAGUACG
rnacentral:misc_RNA from 1 species